rnacentral:lncRNA from 8 species
AUGACAGGAGUAGGCACCUCCCUUCCCCCCACAGACACCUGUCCCUGCUCAGGUAAAGAUUGCUGCCAGCCUGAACGACAUACUUUGUCUUGUCUUUGUGUUAAGGAUGUGGCCCGGUUUCAGUCCUCAGCUCAUCGAUUAAUCCUCCAGGAAACCGUUUGCAGCAGGUACUACAUCAUGCACUGUAGUAAAUACACAUUAACCCCAUACUACUGUAUUAUGACCUCCUUUUGUGUUCCUCAUGAAAGAAGUGAACAGGGAUUAAUCACGUUUGAGUUUCACAAGAGCAACAUUCAGAAAAGGAGGAAAUAAAGAAGCUUGCUCCAUUAAACUUUCUGCUCUGGAAGAGUCAUACAACCUGAAAACAGUUUUACCUUAAUGUUUUAUCUAAUUAACAAACAUCUGGUUGAUACAGUAUUAAACAAGGAAUUCAUCUGACAAGGGAUCCACACGUUGGUGAGUACAUUUUCUAAUGCUGCCAUUUAAUGUGCAUUUAGCCAGAGUCACUAUUUACUAUUUGAGCUAAUUAAAAUUUGUACAUACCACAUUACGUUUCAAUUAAAACAAUUUGUAGAAUGAUUUUUUUAAUAAAGAGUCUUAUUUUAAACAUGGCUGUUGUUUUUUAUUAGUGUGUUCUCUUUUAUUUUGUACAUUUGAAGAUGAGGUUGAAUGAUCUAACGUUAUUACAGUUUUACAAUGUUACAACCUGUUGGCAUUAAAUACAAUUUUACGAAAUUAUAAGACAGUGUAAAUUAUGAUGAUGUCUGACUUUGUCCUUUAGAGGGCAGAGUUGUCUAAAGAAGUUAGACAAUUACCUUCGUCACUUAGAUCUUAUUCAGACGCAUGGGAAAUCGGAAACGUUAUUACUGACAUUAUCUUGUUUAAAAACACUCUAAUCUAGUGAUAAUUGAAUCAAAUUGGUGAGACGCAAACAAUUGAACAAUUCCCAUCAGACUCAAGUAUGCAAAAAGUACGCUCAGACCUUUAUUUGCAGUCAUUAAAGUCACUAUUCUUUGUAUCAAAUGGCCAUUCAUAAAUAAUAUGGGUAAUUGAAGCCAUUAAACUAAAACCAAUCGUACACACUCAUGUGUUACAUGCUCACGUUCUGAAAAGUCAACAGCCCCAUUUUACAGACAUCUUUGUGGGAAAUGCUGAGUCAUGACGUACUGUUCCAGUUUAUCUAUGUGACUUAUUAUUAACCUGUAACAAGGUGUGACCUACAUGUACUGUAUACGCACUUCAUUAGUGCAGAUGUAGAUUUAUUGUAUGCUCGUCAGUCUCAUGCAGUUGACAACAGUACACAAAUAGAAACACUUGCCACUUCAAAUAAUUCACGCUGAGUGUACAAAACAUUAGGAACACCUUCCUAAUAUUGAGUUGCAUCCUCUUUUGCCCUCAGAACAGCCUCAAUUCGCCGGGGCAUGGACUAUACAAGGUCUCGAAAGGCCGAUCUUGACUCUGAAGUUUCCCACAGUUGUCAUGUUGGCUUGGUGUCCUUUGGAUGGUGGACCAUUCUUGAUUCGCACAGGAAACUGUUGAGAGUGAAAAACCCAGCAGCGUUGCAGUUCUUGAAACACUCAAACCGGUGCGCCUGGCACCUACUACCAUACCUCGUUCAAAGGGACUUAAAUAUUUUGUCUUGCCUAUUCACCCUCUGAAUGGCACACACAAUCCAUGUCUCAAGGCUGGAAAAUCCUUCUUUAACCUAUCUCUGCCCCUUCAUCUACACUGAUUGAAGUUGAUUUAACAAGUGACAAUAAGGGAUCAUAGCUUUCAUUUGGAUUCACCUGGUCAGUCUGUCAUGGAAAGAGCAGGUGUUCCUCACUGGCAUAAAACACUGGGUGAGCACUGCUCCUACCUUUGUUUGCCCUGUCUCGGUGCAGGAUCAUACGUCAAAAAGAUUCUAUGGAAAUUAUACUAUUGCUUCUAUUUUUAGACCCUCUUUAUUCCUAAUUGUUGGAUCAUUUGAGGCAUGGAUAAGACAUUUUUGUUUGAAAGGUUUCAGGUGAACUAGUCUGUUUAUUGUUAGGUGAACUAGUCUGUUUAUCUGAUAUAUUAACCUAUUGAACUCUGUUCUUAUUGUUGUUAAGUAGUUUCUUAUCACUGCAUUAGAUAUGGCAGACGUAUAGGAGGGGUAAAUUCUGGGAAUAAUGAACACUGUCCAAACACUAGGGUGUAUAAAAGGCCAGGGUUGUUCAUACCCUGUCCAGUGUACUGUACUCCCAGGUAACUGAGCAGGUGAGAUGAAGUCAGCUGUUGUGCUGUUUGCCUUAAUGGCCCUUUGAGUGCCUUCUCAAGUAUAUAAUCUCUGAAUUAUGUAGGGUAUUGUGUUGCUGAGAGAGACUUGAGGGUAGGUUUUGAAUAUGUUGAAAUGUAAUUGAAAGGAAAACAGUUUUUUCUAACUGCAGUAUCAGACUGUUUUAAAGCUCUGUUCCUCUCUGAGUCACAGUAGAUGGUCGUAGUGUUGUGUUAUCUGAUGCUAAACGAGUGAUGUCCACUUUGUGGCCCAGGGUUACUCUAUUUAAAGGGGAAGUCAGCCAGCCAGGCAGGCUCUGGUUGACAAGGGUCUGUAUGAAGAGUAUAAUAGGAAGUAUCCCUACAACCCCAUAGACAAAUUUAACACCAGGCCUGGGGAUGCCACGGUGCCCAUGAGGUGUGUGCACCUACCUAAAGCCCAGUCUGUCUCCAUUGGUGACUGCUCAGCCUAACUUGAGUGUCGGGCUGAAACAUUCCUCAUAUGAAUUUCUCUCCCUUGACUCUGUCUCACACAGUCCACAUACUAUGGAGUCAUCGCCAUCGGUACACCCCCUCAGUUGUUCAAGGUUCUCUUUGACACAGGCUCUGCUGACCUGUGGGUGCCCUCUACACUGCAGCAGCAGCCAGGCUUGCAGUGAGUAUGUACAGAAUGAUAGAGAUGC